rnacentral:rRNA from 1 species
CCCUUAGAUGUUCUGGGCUGCACGCGCGCUACACUGAAGCUAUCAACACGUUUUCCCUCCCUGAGAAGGGCGGGUAACCUUUUGAAUCAGCUUCGUGGUAGGGAUCGGGGCUUGCAAUUGUUCCCCGUGAACCAGGAAUUCCUAGUAGACGCGAGUCAUAAGCUCGCAUCGAUUAAGUCCCUGCCCUUUGUACACACCGCCCGUCGCUACUACCGAUUGAACGUUUUAGUGAGGCAUUUGGACCGACGCAUCUCAGUUUAACCACCGGUUUGUGUUGGAAAGACUUCCAAACUUGAGCGUUUAGAGGAAGUAAAAGUCGUAACA